rnacentral:rRNA from 1 species
GAGUAAUGUCUGGGAAACUGCCUGAUGGAGGGGGAUAACUACUGGAAACGGUAGCUAAUACCGCAUAACGUCGCAAGACCAAAGAGGGGGACCUUCGGGCCUCUUGCCAUCAGAUGUGCCCAGAUGGGAUUAGCUAGUAGGUGGGGUAAUGGCUCACCUAGGCGACGAUCCCUAGCUGGUCUGAGAGGAUGACCAGCCACACUGGAACUGAGACACGGUCCAGACUCCUACGGGAGGCAGCAGUGGGGAAUAUUGCACAAUGGGCGCAAGCCUGAUGCAGCCAUGCCGCGUGUGUGAAGAAGGCCUUCGGGUUGUAAAGCACUUUCAGCGAGGAGGAAGGUGGUGAACUUAAUACGUUCAUCAAUUGACGUUACUCGCAGAAGAAGCACCGGCUAACUCCGUGCCAGCAGCCGCGGUAAUACGGAGGGUGCAAGCGUUAAUCGGAAUUACUGGGCGUAAAGCGCACGCAGGCGGUUUGUUAAGUCAGAUGU